GCGUAUCGAAGAGAAGAAGAAUAAGAGAAAAAAACCCAACAACAACACAUUACGUAACCUCACACGAUAAUACUUCUUUCCCAGCACACGGCAGCCAUUCGAACCAUCACUAAAAACCUCGCUACGGUCACAGCUACUACGCCAGACGACAAUGGGACCUCUACUCUUCGUCAUCAGAAUCAUCAAUAGUAUUAUGCAUCAUCGUAAUCGUCAGCACUUACGCGUGUAGCCUAAGGGGGGGGGGAGCAAUGUUGCCAGACUGUCGUACUCAGACUGUUAUAUUUCCCAACUUCCUGACCCAAUACUGUCUUCUGGGGUCCAAUAACGAAACUCAUUUAUAGUUAUUGUUAAAAGAGUUCGAUCUGAUGUCUCUUGGCAAUAGUUAGGCCUUGGAAUCCAGUAAUUACUAUGCUGUUAUAUUUCCCAACUUCCUGCCCCAACACACUCUUCUGGGGUCCAAUAACGAAACUCAUUUAUUGUUAUUGUUAAGAGAGUUAUACCCUGAUGUCUCUUGGCAAUAGUUAGGCCUUGGAAUCCAGUAAUUACUAUGCUGUUAUAUUUCCCAACUUCCUGCCCCAACACUGUCUGCUGGGGUCCAAUAACGAAACUCAUUUAUAGUUAUUGUUAAAAGAGUUCGAUCUGAUGUCUCUUGGCAAUAGUUAGGCCUUGGAAUCCAGUAAUUACUAUGCUGUCAUAUUUCCUAACUUCCUGCCCCAACACUGUCUGCUGGGGUCCAAUAACGAAACUCAUUUAUAGUUAUUGUUAAAAGAGUUUGAUCCUGAUGUCUCUUGGCUUGGUUUUGGGGUGGAAAUAGGGUUUGGAAAUGGGGUAUUGGGGUGGUUUUGGGGGUGGGAAAUGGGGAACAGGUUUGGGAAAUGUUUUGGGGGGUCAGGGAAAGGGUUUUGAAAUGGGGAAAUGGGUUUGGGAAGUUUGUUAGGCCUCAGAAUCCGGUAAACACUAUGCUCUUAUAUUUCCCAUCUUCCUGCCCCCAAACUGUCUUCUGGGGUCCAAUAACAAAACUCAUUUAUAGUUAUCAUUAAAAGAGCUAUACCUUGAUGUUUCUCGGCAAUACUUGGGCUUUGGAAACAGGUCAAUACUAUGCUCAAAGUACGACAACCUGGCAGGGGUGUGGUGGGGCAGUAGUAGGAGUUUUAAACGAUACAAAAAGUUCCGCAGUAAUGAUAUAUCCGUUACACCUCCUGGGGCUCCGAUCGCCACUGGAAUAAGGGGAUGAGGACACAUUAUCAAACACCAGCUUGUAUAUAAACAUGCAAUGGGCUAAAUGUAAAUAAAAAUAGAUGGAAUACAUAUACAAUAAAUGGUACAAGUGUAGAAUGACUGGGUGUAUCCACAGAAAUGGGGGGGGGAUGGGGGGGACAUGGGUGUUUUUGAAAAGGGUCGGGAAACUGAUUUUGAGGGGUCGGGAAAUAGGGGAACGGGGUGGGACAUGUUUUGGGGGGUGGAAAUAGGGUUGGGAAAUGGGGCUUUGGGGUGGAAAUGGGGUUGGGAAAUGGGGAACAGGUUUGGGAAAUGUUUUUGGGGGUUGGGGAAAGGGUUUUGAAAUGGGGAAAUGGGGUGGGAAAUGGGGGUGUUUUUGGGUUGGAAAGGAUCGGGAAAUGGUGUUUUGAAUUGGGAAAUCAGUCGGGAAAUGGGGUUGGGAAAUGGAUGUUUUUGGGGUUGGCUGUGAAAACUGUCCGCUAGGCUUCGAGCUGAGAGACCGAACGGCCGAGUUUUGUUACGUCGAUCGAAGGCGCUGUGUGUGUGUGUGUGUGUGUGUGUGUGUGUGUGUGUGUGUGUUCCUGCUUUUUUCCUCUCUCUCUCUCUCUCUUCCUUUCUUUCUUCCUCUUCCUC